rnacentral:rRNA from 1 species
CUACGGGGGGCUGCAGUGAGGAAUUUUGCGCAAUGGGGGAAACCCUGACGCAGCAACGCCGCGUGAGUGAUGAAGGCCUUCGGGUCGUAAAACUCUGUCAAGUGGGAAGAACCUAUGUAAGGUUAAUACCCUUAUGUACUGACGGUACCACUGAAGGAAGCACCGGCUAACUCCGUGCCAGCAGCCGCGGUAAUACGGAGGGUGCAAGCGUUAUUCGGAAUUAUUGGUCGUAAAGGGCGCGCAGGCGGUUUUGUAAGUCAGAUGUGAAAGCCCGGGGCUUAACCUCGGAAGUGCAUUUGGUACUGCAAGACUUGAGUAUGGGAGGGGGAAGUGGAAUUCCUGGUGUAGAGGUGAAAUUCGUAGAUAUCAGGAGGAACACCAGUGGCGAAGGCGACUUCCUGGACCAAUACUGACGCUGAGGCGCGAAGGCGUGGGGAGCAAACAGGAUUAGAUACCCGAGUAGUC